rnacentral:misc_RNA from 1 species
UGGAUUGUCUCUGCCGGCUGGCUCCGUGCUCGUCCACCGAACGGUCGGCAGGCAAUCCGUGUCGGUUGCUGUGGGAUGAGAUGGUGCCUCAGAGGCUGGUUCUUGUGCUGCCUAUCCCUUCAGGGCAAGCAGGCCACUUGCAUUUAGCCUCCAUCCGGCGCCUUCUGACUGGCGCGGGAGGACAGCGAAGCACCCGCCGUGUUCCACCGAGCCUUCACCGGUCGCGUGGCCCGCGGGGAAGUGCAACGCUCUUGGACCCAGCGCACGCCGCGGACGGGGACUCGGGCCCCAGUCCUAAGAGGAGCUUCGAUAUAACGUGUGACGGCCGCUCUCGACCCUNGGCCGCCCC